AUUGAACGCUGGCGGCAGGCCUAACACAUGCAAGUCGAGCGAGCGGCGGACGGGUGAGUAAUGUAUGGGGACUGCCCGCUAGAGGGGGAUAACUACUGGACACGGUGGCUAAUACCGCAUACUAUCGGAUAACCCAUAUGGGAUUAGCUAGUAGGUAAGGUAAUGGCUUACCUAGGCGACGAUCCCUAGCUGGUCUGAGAGGAUGAUCAGCCACACUGGGACUGAGACAAGGCCAAGACUCCUACGGAGGCAGCAGUGGGGAAGAUUGCACAAGGGGCGCAAGCCUGAGGCAGCCAUGCCGCGUGUAUGAAGAAGGCCCUAGGGUGGUAAAGUACUUUCAGUCGGGAGGCGUGACCGACAGAAGAAGCACCGGCUAACUCCGUGCCAGCAGCCGCGGUAAUAC
rnacentral:rRNA from 1 species